GACGAACGCUGGCGGCGUGCUUAACACAUGCAAGUCGAACGGAAAGGCCCUGCUUGCAGGGUACUCGAGUGGCGAACGGGUGAGUAACACGUGGGUGAUCUGCACUGCACUUCGGGAUAAGCCUGGGAAACUGGGUCGAAUACAGGAUAGGAGACAUUUUCAGUGUGAUGGUUGGAAAGUUUUUUCGGUGUAGGAUGAGCUCGCGGCCUAUCAGCUUGUUGGUGGGGUAAUGGCCUACCAAGGCGGCGACGGGUAGCCGGCCUGAGGGGGUGGACGGCCACAUUGGGUCUGAGGGGCGGCCCAGACGCCUACUGGUGGCAGCAGUGGGGAAGAUUGCACCAUGGGCGCAAGCCGGAUGCAGCGACGCCGCGUGGGGGAUGACGGCCUUCGGGGCGAAAACUCCUUUCGCUAGGGACGAAGCUUUUUGUGACGGUACCUAGAGAAGAAGCACCGGCUAACUACGUG
rnacentral:rRNA from 1 species